UAGCAAAUCUCAGCUGAGUUCAGGAGCUGUCAGGCUUGGUUAGAACUUGGAUGGGAAACUGCCUGGGAAUAUCAAGUACUAU
rnacentral:rRNA from 1 species